rnacentral:lncRNA from 1 species
GAACUUCCAUAUGCUACACCUAUGCACAACCUGCCCCCCCCCAAAAUCAAAAAGUAGUCUGGACCAGCAGGACCCUGGGAAAAUUGUCCUCUCCACGAAGGAUUUCAUAGCUCCAUAUGCCACGGGAGCAGCCCAAGAAAUGGCAAAAAGACCAAAUAAAUAAAUAAAUAAAUAAAAAAUCCUUAACUUAAUGACAUUUGCAAAAUCCCUUUUGCCAUGGAAGGUGACAUGUUCGCAGGGUCUGAGGAUGAGGUCAUGGAUGUCUUUGGGGGCUAUUACUCUCACCACCACACCAGCCUGCCUGUGCAGCUCCAAUGUCCUGUCCUACACCAGGGCCCGGACUUCCAGGCCCCAGGUCCCGCCGCAGACAUUCUGACACACACUAGGGAAUGGAAGAGUGUCCCCUCAAACCUUUGCCUGCUUUCCUGAAAGCUUCUGUUGUAUCCCGCUCACCCCUAGCCUGCCCCUGCCGACAAGCAGAAGAUGAAUACCUAGUAAACCAGUAGUAGGACCCAAACAGCUGAGUUACAGGCCUUGGCCUCCUCGGUUCUUCUAGAUUAGGUUCUGUACAUAAAUCAGAUCCUCUUUUUCCCCUUCUGUUUUCAUUCCAGCUGACCUCUUUCUUCUCUGUGUGUUUUCUCUUCUUCUUCUUCUUUUUUUCUUUUGCUGUACCCACAGCAUGUGGAAGUUCCCAGGCCAGAGAUCGAACUUGCACCACAGCCGUGACAACCCUGGAUCCUUAACCGCUAGGCCACCAGGGAACUCCAAGUGUUUUCUUUACUGCUCAUUUACUUUUUACUCCUAAUUCAAGGUAGAGUAAUUGCUCUCAGCUCCCUUGGAUUCGUUCCUCCAAUCUCCCUGGCCAGUCCCUUGGUUCCAGGUCUAACUCUACCUCUCAGCUGUCUCACACUCGGUUUCCUUGGAUUCCUUCCAGCAGCAGCCUUUUCCAGACCCAUUUCGUCUGAGUAAAUUCCCCCAGAUAUGUGGUUUUCCAAUCUAUUUUUAGCUGCAGAAGAAUCCUUCGUUGAAAUGAAAACCCAAUGUAUAAAGCAGAUGAAAUGGAACUCUUUCGGGAGAGGGUAGGCUCUUCUCUUCCCUGCGCUCCCCAGGGCCCCUCUGGGCUCUUUGCUCUCCAGACCUUUUCCCUUUGUCUUGAGCUGCCAUUGGCUUCCCCUCGGUUAACUGUCUCCUCUCCCGAACCCUUCCUUUGGCCCCUUGGCCAGAAUCAAGGAUUCUUUCUCCACUUCCCUCAUGCUCUUUGAAAGGCACAUUUUUCCAAAGCAGCAAAGCAUUUUAACUUCAUCCUCUCGGUCCAGCUUGUCAUCAUGUGAGGCCGCCUCUCACCUGCUGGUACCCUGCCUAUACGUGGGGCUGCAGGGAUGGAGACCAGGUGGAAAUGGGCUGGCCAGCAGCACUGUCACCUGGCUUCUCCAUAUGCAAGCAUCUUGGGUCCUCCAUUUAUGUAGAUUGUAGCUCUCUGGUUACUGGAGGGUUGACACAUUUUUUUCCCAGAGAAUUCAUUUUGGUCACAAUGACCUUGGAGGAGCUGAAAUGCUUCUACUUUAGGGAGGCCUGUGCCUCCUGGGGAUGUUGGCAUGGGGGUAGGGGCAGAGGCACGGACAGAAUCUUCUGACAGGUCACAUGGGGUCUCUUGUAAAGUCGAUAGCAACCCCUGUCCUUGGGCCCUCCAUGCUGGGUUUGGAGUAGGAUUUCCUUCCCAUUGGGCAGCUCUGGACCGUGGGGGUUGAUUCCAAAGUGCCUGUAGAUGCAGAGUCUAGGCACCCAUGGGUGUCUCUGUGGUCCAUGUACUAAAGGCACCCUGGACCUUUGGAAACACAUGAAGCUGAAGAGUCCAGCAUGUAUAGGUUCCUUCCAAGUCCUGUUUGUUUCUCAUUCUCAAUAAUUAAUUCCAUACUCAAUCUUGUAUUUAUAAUUGUGUAUUCUUUUUUUCUCAAAGAAAGCCUUCCAAAUUCCAUACGCUUCAGGCUCUACAAAACCUGGACGUAUCCCUGGGACCCAUGGUUUCGGUGCUCUCCCAGCAGAUCCAGGGACUCAUGUGCCACGGGAGGAUCUUCUGUUUGAAAAGACAAAGGAGUUCCCAUCAUGGCUCAAUGGAAACAAGUUUGACUGGUAUCCAUGAGGAUGCAGGUUCAAUCCCUGGCCUCACUCAGUGGGUUAAGGAUCCCACAUUGCUGUGGCUGUGGUGUAGGCUGGCAGCUACAGCUCCGAUUUGACCUCUAGGCUGGGAACCUCCACAUGCCACAGUGCAGCCCUUAAAAGACUAAAUAAAUAAGUAAACAGACAGAGAUUCCCAUCUCCAGGGCUUUCCAAAGCAUCCAUGCCACGUGCUCUUGUGGAAGGCAGGGAGGCCUGUGUUUUGACAUGCUUCCUGUCCCAUCUGUGCGAUGCAGUUUCCAGGUGGAGCUUGGGGCAGAGGCCAGCCAGAAACCCAUGAGGCCAGGGAAGGGCUGCUUUCCACCGUUCGUUGCCUCUGUGCCACAUGGAUGCUACAGUCCAGCCUUGGUGCAAACUCUGGUCAGUCUCCUAGGAGUUGGAACAUGGUUCCUUCUCUCCAGGCCAGGACUGCUGGUCUAGGCCUCAAGCUGGCAGAACUGCCAUUUGACUAUAAUUCUUAAAUCUGGCUUUUAAGAAUCAUAUUUUGCAAAAUGGGAGCAUUUGUCUGCCUGCUCGGGACAACAGAGGACUUGGGAACUCAGUGCUUAGGACCCAGGAGGCUCCUUGGAUCUGCUCUGCUUUGUAUCGUUUCACAGUCCUUGAUAGCAAGUCAGAUGUGAAAGCCAGAGAUGGGCAAUGCUGCUUUAAAAACAUGUAAGGACGGAGUUUCCUUGUGGUCUAGUAGUUAAGGAUCCAGCAUUGUCACUCUGUGGCGCAGGCUUGAUCCACAGAGUGACAAUUUCCACAUGCUGCCUGUGCAGCAAAAAGAAAAAAAAAAAAAUAGGGGCCCUUCUAGAUGCAGACAGUAGAUUAAAGCUUCCCUAAAGAAUUCCUCUUUUCCAGUUCCUAACAAAAUUAAGUAGAUAAAAUCACAGGGGAAAUUUACUAUCAGCAACAAAUACAAUACACUUCAAAUGUGGCAUCCAAAGAAAGAAUCAGAAGAUUUUGAGUGGCAAGGAGUGGCACAGCGCACCUCUGCUCCCUAUUCUGUCCUCAAAGCCCAGAGGAUGACAAAAGCCUUGCACAUUCCUCCCAGUGCUCCUGAAUCUGCAAAGAACCAUUUAUGAGUCAUACCCUUAUAUUCAUCCUCUUCUGAAUGAGCAAUAUUAAAAAGCAUGCUGGGUUGAAAUAGAGGAAGCUUGGCGCAUGAUCCAUGGGGCUGACUCAGCCAGUGGAAAUACAGACUCCAGAUCAACACUCCAACUUGAGAAAUUGAUCCAAAGCCUGGGUUAUCCUCCUUCCUUGGAAAAGGUGUAUGGUGUCCCCCUUGCCAUCCGCAGCAGGUGACCUGAGACUUGUGCUGGACAUUCAUCAGAACCUCAGGACAGGGAUACGCACAGCUAUACCAACAAAGGCUGCACCUGCUUUGACUGAGCUGUCCUCUUCAGACGACCAAAAAGUUCAUAGACUCUACGUGCCCUGCCUGUCUUUUAGGUCAGAGGGAAAAACACACUGGUCUCAAACAUGAGAAGAUGGUCAGUAAGCAACCCCUCCUUGCUGUCAUAUUCUGGCAGCAUAAAGAAGAUCUGGACGGAGUCUCGAAACCAAGAUGGAAAGAAAUGGAUGCCAGCGCAUGACAGCGAAUUAUAAAUGAUACAUAGAAGGAAAACCGUGGGCAAAAGACUAGGGCUCCUCCCCUCCCCCCAAAAGGAAAUUUCUUACCACUGCUUUAUAUAUAAAGCACCUUAGUAAGAACAUGAAUUUAAUAAAUUGGAGGCUCCAAGAUGGGAUGAUAAAACAAAAGAACUGAUGGAAAGGAAACAAACUGAGAACAAAAGCAACACCAUGAUACAAUAAACAAAUAAGAACUAACAAGAAAGAGAACUGACCCCACUGAAACUCCAGUGACUGAGCUGGGGCAGCUAAACAAGGUAAGGUGAUUUAAGAAAUUAGAACUAAUAGAAAUGGAAUACAGAUAAAGACGACCCAAUAUAAGGAUUCAUUGAUAUUGCUGAAGAAGAGAAACCAAAAAUAGAGCUAAAAGAGAAUUCUAACACAGAAGAAGCAAAACUAAAACUGCAGAUUGAAAGACACUAUGUUCCAGAAAAGCUCUGCUCAGAAUGUUUAAUACUAAGACAUGUUUUUAGUUAUUG